AUACACACAUCAGUAGCACACAUGGCGAUUAAAUGUUUACACUCGUAAAAUGAGAGGCUAGACUUUCGCUCUUAUGUUUAAUCUUGCUAAACUUGCUCCAGUUAUUUUGUCUCCCUUUACAUAUACACAGAGGCAACUAUAUUGUGUUCGAAGGGGCCAGGCUUACUCAAAAGAAAAUUUUCCACUGCACGCUUUCGGCCUUCCCUCUUGUUUUCUCUUGUUUCCUAAAGAUGAACUUUCCCACCAUUUCUCACGCGCUUGAAGCGUUCGUACAGAUGCUCUUCACCAAAAAGGCUAGGUGAGAGAAAACGUGAGAGAAAACACUAAAAGAAAGCAGAACGAUGCCAAACUAAGAACAUAUAUCUGGUUUACCCCACCUUUAACGAGGAGAGAGAAUAAAUUGCUGUUCUUUUGUCAAAAGAAAAAUACUCUAAAAUAGAAAGAUUAUCAUCUACAGAAAUUAUUGGAUGCUAGAAGAAUAUCGUGGAACUAUUAACAGUGAGUUUUUUCUCAGAGACCAGCUCUACCAAACAGCAUAUUUUUGGUCCCAUUUCUUGUAUGAUUUGUUUAGAACUUGCAUCAAUCUGAAAAAAAAAAUUGUUAAAUGAAAAGUAAAAAUAAAACAAUGUAAAAUAAAAAUGAAUGCUAUCAUGCAGACUUGUUAGAGCUGUAACUAAUCUCUGAUUUUAACUUUGGCUAUACAAAGGGCGUGGCAGUAUUCCUAAUCAAAGAGAAUAGUUGAAGCUGUAUCAGCCAUAUGACAGUUUGCUUUUUUUAUCACAGGGGUCUUGUAUUCAAGACUCUACAUAGCUACACAUUUUGAUCUUUUACAAAAAGAUGAAAAUAGAUACGAAAUAAGAUCCAGACCGUAAAAAAGAUUUUUUUUCUUAUAAAGCAAUUAAAAACUAAAAUAAGUAUAUCAAAUAGAUCAAUUUGCAAAAGGUCCAGAUGAUUGUUAUUGGGAGGGGGAGGAUUUUUUUUUGUUUAGGUGAAGCCUGUCACAUAAUUUUUGGUUAAGUCCAUUUUUUAUCACGAACAAAUGGUUCGUUAGUUUGAGAUUUUGGAAGUCAUGGCAUUUCUGGUCUGCGUGGGAGGAUUCAGUCACCUGGAGCAUGCCCAAUGUUACCAAUCAAAAGGCUUCGUAUUGGCUAGUACGGCAUCAGCCUACUAGACUGCUGCGCAGACUGCUUUUUAUAUUCUAGUUAUGGAAAUAAUAAUGCCAUAAUGUAAUAUUUGUAAGAAAAUUUAACAUUUCAAGGGACAGUUAUUCCUCAUAUGUAACUUUUUUUAUUUACCAUGAGCAUUUACAGUAUUUAGUUAAUGCUCCCAGCUUAUAUUCAUAAUAAACUACAGCAUACCCAAUGAUACCAAUCAAAA